UACGUAGGGUGCAGGCGUUAAUCGGAAUUACUGGGCGUAAAGCGUGCAUAGGCGGUUUGUUAAGACAGGUGUGAAAUCCCCGGGCUUAACCUGGGAACUGCGCUUGUUACUGGCAGACUUGAGUGUGGCAGAGGGGGGUGGAAUUCCAGGUGUAGCAGUGAAAUGCGUAGAUAUGCGGAGGAACACCGAUGGCGAAGGCAAUCCCCUGGGCCUGCACUGACGCUCAUGCACGAAAGCGUGGGGAGCAAACAGG
rnacentral:rRNA from 1 species